UACGGAGGGUGCAAGCGUUAUCCGGAUUCACUGGGCUUAAAGGGUGCGUAGGUGGGUUUGUAAGUCAGUGGUGAAAUCUCCAAGCUUAACUUGGAAACUGCCGUUGAUACUAUAAAUCUUGAAUGUUGUGGAGGUGAGCGGAAUAUGUCAUGUAGCGGUGAAAUGCUUAGAUAUGACAUAGAACACCAAUUGCGAAGGCAGCUCACUACACAAAGAUUGACACUGAGGCACGAAAGCGUGGGGAGCAAACAGG
rnacentral:rRNA from 1 species